UACGUAGGUGGCAAGCGUUGUCCGGAUUUACUGGGCGUAAAGGGCGUGCAGGCGGUUUGUUAAGUCUAGGGUGAAAGCUCCCGGCUCAACUGGGAGAGGUCCUUGGAUACUGGCGAACUUGAGGGAUGCAGAGGAAAGUGGAAUUCCCGGUGUAGUGGUGAUAUGCGUAGAUAUCGGGAGGAACACCGGUGGCGAAGGCGGCUCGCUGGGCCAUUCCUGACGCUGAGACGCGAAAAGCUAGGGGGAGCGAACAGG
rnacentral:rRNA from 1 species